AAGUCGUAACAAGGUUUCCGUAGGUGAACCUGCGGAAGGAUCAUUAAUGAAAUGCAAGGACGUUCUUUUUAGAAGUCCGACCCAAUUCAUCCUUUCACCCUGUGCACAUAACAUUUUUUACACCCAUUUUAAAACACGUAAAGUCAUUAGAAUGUCAUAAAGUCUCUUAAUUGAGCAUAAAAGUUAAUAAAACUUUCGGCAACGGAUCUCUUGGCUCCCGCAUCGAUGAAGAACGCAGCGAAAUGCGAUACGUAAUGUGAAUUGCAGAAUUCAGUGAAUCAUCGAAUCUUUGAACGCACCUUGCACUCUUUGGUAUUCCGAAGAGUAUGCCUGUUUGAGUGUCGUGAAACCCUCAACCCCCCUGUUUUGUGAUGAAGCAGGCGUUUGGGCUUGGAUUCUGGCUGUCCUGCCGGCCCUGUAUAGGGUCAGCUCAGCUGAAAUGUACGAGCAGCUUGUAUUUCGAUAGCAUAGAAAGCUUCACUCGGCGUAAUAACACUUAUUCUCGUCAAGUUGAAUGCAGUCUUAUCGUUAGACGGCGCUUAUAAAUCGCUUCACUUUAGUGUGAAACACUUGAACUUUAGACCUCAAAUCAGGCAGGAUUACCCGCUGAACUUAA
rnacentral:rRNA from 1 species